rnacentral:misc_RNA from 1 species
CCGAGUGAGGGCGCACGCCCGACCUCCAACCCCAUGUGAACCGCAACUGUUGCUUCGGGGGCGACCCUGCCGCCUCGGCGGCGCGCGCCCCCGGAGGCCGUCAAACACUGCAUCUUUGCGUCGGAGUAUCAAUCAAAUUGAACA